rnacentral:rRNA from 1 species
AAAUUGAAGAGUUUGAUCAUGGCUCAGAUUGAACGCUGGCGGCAGGCCUAACACAUGCAAGUCGAACGGUAACAGGAAACAGCUUGCUGUUUCGCUGACGAGUGGCGGACGGGUGAGUAAUGUCUGGGAAACUGCCUGAUGGAGGGGGAUAACUACUGGAAACGGUAGCUAAUACCGCAUAACGUCGCAAGACCAAAGAGGGGGACCUUCGGGCCUCUUGCCAUCGGAUGUGCCCAGAUGGGAUUAGCUAGUAGGUGGGGUAACGGCUCACCUAGGCGACGAUCCCUAGCUGGUCUGAGAGGAUGACCAGCCACACUGGAACUGAGACACGGUCCAGACUCCUACGGGAGGCAGCAGUGGGGAAUAUUGCACAAUGGGCGCAAGCCUGAUGCAGCCAUGCCGCGUGUAUGAAGAAGGCCUUCGGGUUGUAAAGUACUUUCAGCGGGGAGGAAGGGAGUAAAGUUAAUACCUUUGCUCAUUGACGUUACCCGCAGAAGAAGCACCGGCUAACUCCGUGCCAGCAGCCGCGGUAAUACGGAGGGUGCAAGCGUUAAUCGGAAUUACUGGGCGUAAAGCGCACGCAGGCGGUUUGUUAAGUCAGAUGUGAAAUCCCCGGGCUCAACCUGGGAACUGCAUCUGAUACUGGCAAGCUUGAGUCUCGUAGAGGGGGGUGGAAUUCCAGGUGUAGCGGUGAAAUGCGUAGAGAUCUGGAGGAAUACCGGUGGCGAAGGCGGCCCCCUGGACGAAGACUGACGCUCAGGUGCGAAAGCGUGGGGAGCAAACAGGAUUAGAUACCCUGGUAGUCCACGCCGUAAACGAUGUCGACUUGGAGGUUGUGCCCUUGAGGCGUGGCUUCCGGAGCUAACGCGUUAAGUCGACCGCCUGGGGAGUACGGCCGCAAGGUUAAAACUCAAAUGAAUUGACGGGGGCCCGCACAAGCGGUGGAGCAUGUGGUUUAAUUCGAUGCAACGCGAAGAACCUUACCUGGUCUUGACAUCCACAGAACUUUCCAGAGAUGGAUUGGUGCCUUCGGGAACUGUGAGACAGGUGCUGCAUGGCUGUCGUCAGCUCGUGUUGUGAAAUGUUGGGUUAAGUCCCGCAACGAGCGCAACCCUUAUCCUUUGUUGCCAGCGGUCCGGCCGGGAACUCAAAGGAGACUGCCAGUGAUAAACUGGAGGAAGGUGGGGAUGACGUCAAGUCAUCAUGGCCCUUACGACCAGGGCUACACACGUGCUACAAUGGCGCAUACAAAGAGAAGCGACCUCGCGAGAGCAAGCGGACCUCAUAAAGUGCGUCGUAGUCCGGAUUGGAGUCUGCAACUCGACUCCAUGAAGUCGGAAUCGCUAGUAAUCGUGGAUCAGAAUGCCACGGUGAAUACGUUCCCGGGCCUUGUACACACCGCCCGUCACACCAUGGGAGUGGGUUGCAAAAGAAGUAGGUAGCUUAACCUUCGGGAGGGCGCUUACCACUUUGUGAUUCAUGACUGGGGUGAAGUCGUAACAAGGUAACCGUAGGGGAACCUGCGGUUGGAUCACCUCCUUA